UACGGAGGGUGCUAGCGUUGUUCGGAAUUACUGGGCGUAAAGCGCACGUAGGCGGCUUUGUAAGUUAGAGGUGAAAGCCCGGGGCUCAACCCCGGAAUUGCCUUUAAGACUGCAUCGCUAGAAUUGUGGAGAGGUAAGUGGAAUUCCGAGUGUAGAGGUGAAAUUCGUAGAUAUUCGGAAGAACACCAGUGGCGAAGGCGACUUACUGGACACAUAUUGACGCUGAGGUGCGAAAGCGUGGGGAGCAAACAGG
rnacentral:rRNA from 1 species